rnacentral:rRNA from 1 species
CAGCAGCCACGGGAAUACGUAGGUGGCAAGCGUUGUCCGGAAUUAUUGGGCGUAAAGCGUGCGCAGGCGGAUCGGUCAGUCUGUCUUAAAAGUUCGGGGCUUAACCCCGUGAUGGGAUGGAAACUGCCAAUCUAGAGUAUCGGAGAGGAAAGUGGAAUUCCUAGUGUAGCGGUGAAAUGCGUAGAUAUUAGGAAGAACACCAGUGGCGAAGGCGACUUUCUGGACGAAAACUGACGCUGAGGCGCGAAAGCCAGGGGAGCGAACGGGAUUAGAUACCCGCGUAGUCCCUGUCUCUUAUACA